rnacentral:lncRNA from 1 species
UUUUUUUUUUUCCUUUUUUUUUAGGACUGCACCUGAGGCAUCUGGAAGUUCCCAGGCUAGGGGUCCAAUUGGAGCUGCAGCUGCUAGCCUAUGCCACAGCCACAGCAGCUUGGGAUCUAAGCCCUGUCUGCAACCUACACCACAGCUCACAGCAACACUGGAUGUUUAACCCACUGAGUGAGGCCAGGGAUCGAACCCACCUCCUCAUGGAUAAGAGUCAGGUUCAUUACUGCUGAUCCACAACAGGUAUUCCCAAGACAGGGCUUUCAAACCAUCCCCCAGCCAUCUGGGACACGGUCAUCCAGAAGGCUGUCCUCGUGUCCUGGGGAGACCAAAGUCUUCUUGGAUCCAUUCAAAAAAUAUUUACUCAGCACCUGCUCUACACUAGGUACUAUUCCAGCCACUGAGGAUGGAGCAGUGAUCCCUUCCCCAUGGGGCUUACCGUCCACUGGGGAGACAAAUAACAAACAUAUAAACAUGUAAACAUAUAGCAUGGGGUCAAGAGAUAUUAUGGGUUGAACGGAGGGAGUUCCCCAAAAUUCAUGUGUUUAAGUCCUAUCUCAGUCCAUUUGGGUUACUAUAACACAUAGCAUAGGCUAGGUGGCUUAUAAAUGACAGAAAUUUCUCUCUCACGGUUCCGGAAGCUGGGAAGUCCAAGGUCAAAGCAGAUUUGGUGUUUGGUGAGAGUUCUCUCCCUGGUUCACAGACAGUCGUGUUCUCGCACAGUGGAAGGAGCAAAGGAGCUUUCUGGGGUCUCUCUCUCUCUCUCUUUUUUUUUUUUUUUUUUUUUUUUUUGGUCUUUUUGUCUCUUUUUAGGGCCAAACCCAAGGCAUAUGGAGGUUUUCACUUGCCUAGAUGUUCCCUCUCUCUCUCUCUUCUCAACCACCCAUAAACCUAUCAACUUUCCCAUGAAGAAGCAAUGGGACGCAACUCAGAGUUGACUCCUAGAAAGAGUCAAGGUCUUCCAAAGAUGUCUACUCUCUAUUAUACCCCUUCCCUGUGACCUAGGCAGGACCCAGGGUGGCCAUAGAACUACAUCCUGGCCUGAGUGUACUCUGCAACCUAAAUCCGAUCAGCACAGGUGCUCACAUACCAAGGUGACCCAAUCCUCAUCCCAACAACACAAACCUCUAACCAGACAGCGUUGCUGACAGGAAUGGGCAACAGAGCAGUGGCUCCUCACCUUUGGGGAGUAAAUAAGUCCCCUUAUACUGUGAUGAAGUCAUGGAUCCUCGCCCAGAAACAUAAUUAUACACAUAGAAUUUAUAGGGUUCUGCAAAGCUCAUCUAUGGCUCCUUUCUAGGUAGUGGAAUCCAGGGAAAUAACCUCUGCCAUGGCAAGAACCACCAAGAAACAAAGACAAAGGAUAAAAUGGGGAGCAGACAAGAAGGAAAAGGCUUCAAAACCUAUCACUGAAAGAGGACUGAUGGCCUUAAUAUAUAGAAAGUGCCUGCAAAUCAAUAAGAAAAAGACCAGAAACCCAAGGGAAGAUGGUGGAUGGACAUGAACAAGUAACAAAAAUGAAGUAUAAAUUGUUGUCAGACAUAUGAAAAUAUGCUCAACUCCACUUAUAAAUAUGAGAAACUACACAUAAAACAAAAUACCAUCUUUAAUCCACUAGAUUGGCAAAGAUAAAAAGUCUGAGAACGCCUUAUAUUGACAAAGAUGUGGCAAGAGAUCUCCACCCCAGGGUGAUGCAAGUAAAACCUGGGACAACCUCUAGGGCAGGCAAUGUGGCAAUAUCCCUAACAGUUAGUGAUACCCUUUUGCAUAAGGCUAGGAACUUAUCCCUCAGAUAAGCCUGAAACAUUUACAAGAUGACAAACGGGUGUAGGUAUUUACUUCAGCACAAUUUGGGAAUAACAAAAAAUUGUAUACAAUCUAAAUGCCCUUUUUUGUUUGUUUGUUUGUUUUGCAUAGGCAUGCAAAAGUUCCUGGGCCAGGGCCAGGAAUCAAACCCAGGCCACAGCAGUGACAAUGUCAGAUCCCCAACCGCUAGGCCACCAAGGAACUCCCCUACUCCUUAAUUGUGCUUAAUUUUUAUGUAACAUCCACUGACUCGCUCAUCAAGGAUUAGCUAAGUAAAUACGGUACCUCCAUAUAGCAAAUAGUAUGCAGUAAUUUAAAAGGGCAGCAGUCUAGUCCCAAACACUCUGGGCAUCCCAGGAAUAUUCUGGCCUCAAGUUUCUUUGCAGUUAGGAUGCUUAGGGGUCUCUGCUGGGUGUGUGGAUACCUUUAGGAUACUUUUGUGUGUCCGAUGGGUUUUGUCUUGAGAAAUUUGCGUCCCCACACUUCGGCUAACUUAUCAACCAGUGUGUCUCAUCAGAGACAGUGGGAGAGACCCUCUCCUCCCCGUCACUCCUGAGUUGUGGGAGGUUAGAUUAUUACCAAAUAGCAUCAUGAUUGGGGAUAUUCAGGUGACAAAAGGGCUGUGUGAGUGGGAGCCAUCUCUUAACAUCCUCUUACCUCCUCUACUGCCACCAAACUGGCUCUACUCUACCUAGCUAUUCAACUUCUAAUUACUGGAUUCUUUGCGAUUUUUAAGCACUUGUGUGUGUGUUUUAAAAUUCAUUUGGGAGAAAAAAUAAAUAAAUAAAUAAAAUUCAUUUGGGGAGUUCCCGAUGUGGCUUAGUGGAUUAAGGACCUGACUAUAGUGUCCAUGAGGAUGUGGGGUCGAUCCCUGGCCUUGAACUGGCGUUGCUGCAGUGUAGGUCAUAGAUGCAUCUCAGACCCUGCAUUGCUGUGGCUGUGGCAUAAGCGUGCAGCUGCAGUUCCAAUUUGACCCCUAGCUCAGGAACUUCCAUGUGCCGCAAAUGCGACCAUAAAAAGAAAAAAAAUUUCAUUGGGUUAAAUUUUGGAAUAGGUAAAACAGACACAUGGUCUAAAAGGGAAAGGUUUCAGGAGGUAAUUCUGCCUUCAGCUGAGUGCCUCGUAAUGGGUUCUUCUCCCCAGAGGCAACCUUGCUUCCAGUUUCCUGUAUUUCCUCUACAUAUCCUCCGUCUGCAUACAAGUGUACAUACAUUUGAGACUCUCUAUGAAUACAUUUGUAAAUGUACACAUAUAGAAAGAUAUAUUUUUACACCGUACAUGCUGUUCGGUAUCUUGCCUUGUUCACUUAGCAAUAUGUCUUAUAUAUCCUUCUCCCAAAUGACUACAGAAUAUCCUUAUUCUUUUUAAUUAUUGCAUAGUAUUCGCUAUAUGGAGGUACCAUAUUUACGUAGUACUUCCAAUAUCUCCACAUUUCAGGUGGAGAAGCAGCAAACUAGGUCUGCAAGGUGGGGCGGGGAUGCUGCCCACUUAGGUUAGGGAGCCAGCCUGGACUCAGACUAAGACCCUGGACUCUGGCCCUGUCUCCCCCAGAAAGCAGUGGAUGCCCAGCCGCACUGCCAAUCUUCCCUUUCUGGGUUAAGAACUUCUUCCCCAGCUGCUCAGCUGUGAGCUCGCCCCAGGAACUACCCCCAGCAUGGGUCUGAGGCCACGCCCCCUGCCCAGAGCCACCCCCAUCCAAUGCCGGGUCCAAAGGUACAAAAGCCCAGUCCCCUUGCCCCACCUGGACCCCUCAGUGGAUACAAAGAUAUAAAACUGGAGUUCCUGCUAUGCUGCAACAGGACUGGCAGCAUCCCUGCAGCACCAGGGCACAGGCUCAAUCCUGCCCAGUAUGGUAGGUUAAACUAUCCAGCAUUGCUGCGGCAGCAACAUGGGUCACAAAUGCGGCUCAGAUCCAAUCCCUGGCCUAGGAACUCCGUAAGUCCGGGGAGAGGGGGGCAAAAAAUAAAGAUAUAAAGCCCAGGGAGUUCCCACUGUAGCUCAGUGGGUUAAGGACCUGACACUGUCUCCAUGAGGAUGCAAGUUUGAUCCCUGGCCUCAUUCAUUGGGUUAGGAUCUGGCGUUGCUGCAAGCUGCAGCGUAGGUCAAAGAUGCCACUCAGAUCCCGGUGUCGCCAUGGCUGUGGGAACUUCCAUAUGCUGCAGGUGUGAUUGUAAAAAUAAAUUAAAGAAAAAAGAUAUAAAGCCCAGUUUGGACAGCUCAGCUCUGAAGCAUAGUGGGCACUAGGGGGUGGGGGGGUGGGGGUAACUUCAGCUGGUCCUGCAUCGGGGCCCAACUUCUCCCUCUGCCCCCUGCUGCCUGGCCCUUCCCUUCGCCUCUCUUCCCCUCACUGGUUUUGGUCCUCAGUCUAUGCCCUAAGACCACAUUUCCCCCUUCUCAAGGUCUGCUUUCCAGAAAAUCACCUACAACACAGUCCUAACACUCUACGAAGGUGUUGAGGGUUGGACUGUGUCCUGCAAAGAUGCUAUGUUCACGUCCCAACCCCUGGGUCCCUGGGAACGUGGCCUCUUGGUAAAUAGAGUCCUUAGAGAUCUCAGCAAUAUGAGUUCCUCUUAGAUUAGGGUUGACCCUAUGUCCAAUGACAGGUGACCUUAUAAGGAGAGGGAGACUUGGAGACACAGACGAUGCAUGGCGGGAAGGAGGCCACAUGGAGACAAGGCAGAGACUGGGGUGUGCCAGCUACACACCGAGGGAUGCACCAUAGGCUGGAAGAGGCUGGAAGGACCCUCCCCUAGAGCUUUCAGAGUCUCUGCCAAUACCUUGAUUUUGGACUUCUGGCUUCCAGAAGUCUAAGAGCAUAUGCAUUCUGUUCUUUUAAGCCACCCAGUUUGUGGUCAUUUGUGAGGGCAGCCCUAGCAACAGAGGAGAGAGGGUCAGAGGCAAAAAAUCUACCCAGAGCAUACCUGCACGCAGUCAACACAGGGAAGGAUACCACCUGCCCAGGGCGGCUUCUAGCAUCUAAUGAGAAAAUGCAUCAAAGUCCCUGAACACACCACAAAGCGCUACACCACUGAGCUGGUAUUUAGGAGGAAGGAGAGGUGAGCGCUCUCCAUACCUUUGCAGAAGUAUCUGCCUCCUCCACAACUAUUGAGGGCCCCCGGGGUUCACUCCUUUCCCGCUGGUCAUCCUAUGAACCAGCAGCAUCCCAUCAGGUGGCGUGAUCAGUUCAGGUCAGCACUUCAAAGUGACCAGAGCCCAGGCAGAAGGGAGGAAGAGGUUUCACUAGUUUGCUAAAAAUAAGGCUCAGGGGUUAUCUACAGGUUUCAAUUAGCCAAGAGAGCAGGUGGCUCCGUUACCUUCAAUAAUCAAGACGGGGAUGUAGGUCCCCAGGUAAAUGAUACUUUGUACCCGAGCCACCUUCCUGCAGAGGACACCCAGCCUGUGCCUCUCCCUCCGGGCAGACACAGCUGCCACUCCCCACACCUUCUGGGACGAUGAUGGCCAUGGUGCCCUUGGGAACAGCGGGCGGCGUGCCGUGCGCUGUAGUUGAGCCCCGCCUGUGCCGGUGACUCCACACCCACAGAGAAAAUUUAGGGUUGUACUCCUCUUCGUGGGUACCGCUCAGCCCUGUUGUGCCAACUCAAAGCACCUUUGAAGUCCCCGGGGCCUGCGUAUCAAUGAACCCUGAGAAGCGAGCUCUAACUGCCAAUUUCCAUCAUUCACAAGGACUUCAAAAAGAUGAGGCAGGGCAGGAAGUUCAAAAAGACUGUGCCUGCGAACUGCAGCGUGCAAUCUCAGAAAUUAUAGGCACUGCCUUGUCACGCGCGACAUACUGAGCAGGUGCUUUUGCCAAAUGCCUCUGCUUGCCAAGAAAUCCCUGCCGAGGAUUAAGGGAACGGGCCAGUUCCCUAAGCAUUUCUUGUUCUUCUAUUCCCCCUAAAUUUCUAGCACUGAAAAAAAAAAAAAAAAAAAAAAAAACAGGAUUUAGCACCUGUUUGUUUCAGUAACACUUGCUAAAAACAGAGCUGCCAAAAGGCCACCUCUAAAAUUAGUCAUAUUUCCUGCUCUGGAAAACAUAGUAAAUUGUAUUUUUAGUAACUCCUUCACCCCAGGUAGCUAGCAUCGUCAUGCUCGAAGCAUAAUUAUUGGCAACUUACUAAGCAGGCAACCCUUAUUUUUAGCCCCAGAAUAGCUCCAAUGAAAGUGAUAAACAGGUUUAAAAAAAAAAAAAAAGGUUGAAACAAGAUAUUUAAACAUCCUAACCAAUCAUGUUAUGUUCCCAACUUUGUCUCUUAAAGAGACUUAAUCACAAAAAAGGUAAUUGUAGCAUCAACGCUUUUCCCCCUUUUUGUAGCUUUGCCGGCCUGUGAAACCCGCUCUAUACCUGAGAUAUACCUAUGCUUUUCCCCAUACGCCUUUCCAACUAUAUUUUAUCAUCUUUUAAAUGUAAUAACAACCCGGGCAGAGCCAGAGACUGCCUUUCACAGAGACCAAUAUCAGAGGCUAAAAGCACACCUCUCUGCGGGCUUUUCCAAGUUAUCACUUGAUAUGCCCGUUCAGCAACUUUGCUCUUUGUCUCAAAGCCACUGAGAAUACUUUUCAGACUCUGAUUUUGUGAUCAUUUUUCCUCCUCUAAUCAUCAACUUGGCCAAAGACAGACUGGGAACCUGCCAGGUAAGAGUUUCACAGGACCGAGCGAAUGAUUGAUUUUUAAAGCCACCUUAGUAGAGAUUGCACCGACUCAAAAAGCUAAAAGGGGGACAAAAUCAGGUCUUGCCUGAAGCCAUCCUUUCUUUCUGAGCAGUAAAAGGGCCAACUCAAUGCAAAUGAGAGGCAGGCAAAGGAAAAAGAAAAAAAAAAAAAAAAAAAAAAAAAAA